rnacentral:rRNA from 1 species
AGAGUUUGAUCCUGGCUCAGGACGAACGCUGGCGGCGUGCUUAACACAUGCAAGUCGAACGAUGAUGCGGCGCUUGCGCCGUUGAUUAGUGGCGAACGGGUGAGUAACACGUGAGUAACCUGCCCCCUUCUUCGGGAUAACGGUCUGAAAGGGCUGCUAAUACCGGGUAUUCACUGGUCUCCGCAUGGGGGCUGGUGGAAAGGUUUUUUCUGGUGGGGGAUGGGCUCGCGGCCUAUCAGCUUGUUGGUGGGGUGAUGGCCCACCAAGGCUUUGACGGGUAGCCGGCCUGAGAGGGUGACCGGUCACAUUGGGACUGAGAUACGGCCCAGACUCCUACGGGAGGCAGCAGUGGGGAAUAUUGCACAAUGGGCGCAAGCCUGAUGCAGCGACGCCGCGUGAGGGAUGGAGGCCUUCGGGUUGUGAACCUCUUUCGCCCGUGGUCAAGCCGCGACGUGGGUCGUGGUGAGGGUAGUGGGUAAAGAAGCGCCGGCUAACUACGUGCCAGCAGCCGCGGUAAUACGUAGGGCGCGAGCGUUGUCCGGAAUUAUUGGGCGUAAAGGGCUUGUAGGCGGCUGGUCGCGUCUGCCGUGAAAUCCUCUGGCUCAGCUGGGGGCGUGCGGUGGGUACGGGCUGGCUUGAGUGCGGUAGGGGAGGCUGGAACUCCUGGUGUAGCGGUGGAAUGCGCAGAUAUCAGGAAGAACACCGGUGGCGAAGGCGGGUCUCUGGGCCGUUACUGACGCUGAGGAGCGAAAGCGUGGGGAGCGAACAGGAUUAGAUACCCUGGUAGUCCACGCUGUAAACGUUGGGCACUAGGUGUGGGGGCCACCCGUGGUUUCCGCGCCGUAGCUAACGCUUUAAGUGCCCCGCCUGGGGAGUACGGCCGCAAGGCUAAAACUCAAAGGAAUUGAC